rnacentral:misc_RNA from 1 species
GUGCAUUAUGAGUAAACGCAGCAUCAAUGCUGCGGUUUAAGUUCAAUUGAGACAUAAAGGCUUCAUUUGUAUGGUUAAACUGAUACAUAUAUUUAACUGUUCCAAAUCUAAUGCCCAAUGAGUAAAAUGAAGUGAAACCACAAAAUCACGUGCUUCUUAUGCCUUUAAGAACAACAAUAUAAUAUGCAAGAACAUUACCUUCCUUCCCAGAAAUCUUCUGUUACCUUUCUCAUCUUUCUAUAUGUUUCUGCUUGUUUAUCACCCUUUGGGCCUUUAAAGAGGUAAGGAUCCGAGGAUAGAUCCAGAAAGAGUAUAUCUUCACCAGUAUUGAUUCUCGACAGAGUGAAAUCAAUUAUUGAUAUCAAUAAUCCAUAUGUUUUGACAAACAUAUGCUUCCCCUCAAGGAUAAACCUCACUGUUGCAGAGUCACUUCGACUUAACAAAAUGUUUCCCCUUUAACAGAAAUAAUUCUGCAUUAGCAUUCAUACAGGAUAACAUACAAUAACAUUUACUGUAUAAAUAGCCAGACCAGUGCAGGUCCCGGUGUUCAAAUUCAAAUGCAGCUUCUACAACAGCUAAGGUAGCUGUAACCUGCAACGUGCAAUGGGCAAACAAGUUAAUAGAAGAUACAAAGCCCAGUGAAUUGCCUCAAGCAAUUUCAUUUACCUGAACUAAUAAACUCCGUGCCUCAUCAAAGUUCAUUAGAACAAAGCUUUCAAGGUCCUCACCGCCAUGUUGUAGUACAAACACAACAUAGCACUGCACAAAUUUGUUAGUAUGGUAAGCAAACCUAAGAAAGCACAUCUUAAAUGUUAAGAUGUAUUUUGGGACCAAUAAGUGAGAGCAAGGACAGGCAGGGUUGGAGGGGGGGAGUGGAAGGGAAUAGAAUUUAAAUUUGUAACUCCACACAUAUUUUCAGAAUUAGCACCUUUUCCACCAAUUCAUGUGCAUAUAUAAAAUAUUCAUUUUUAUUGUGUACUGGAAAUGGAUGCACUUUAUGUAAUCCAGAAGUGAAACAUACAGCUAUGUGAUGUCAAUCAAUUCCAAUAGCAUAGUGAAAGUCAAACCUGUUGCUCUAGAAAAUCUCCCAGAUGAUUAUUUUCUGAACCAUUUUUUUCAUCCCAUUUUUCCCAUGCUCUAAUCAAUGCACUAUCACAAGGACCCUGGCACACCCUUGGAGUGUGGAAUAAAAAGAUUAUUAGAGAUAACUAACUGGCAAUACAUCUACAUCUGAUAAGCAUUAAACUACAAGUGUAUAAUACUAUACUAAUACCCAUAUUAUAUUAUGUCUCUUUAAGUAGAUCUAGCCUGGGCAAAUUCAUGUUUAUCUGACUUAAAUUUAAGCUUCAGCUUUAGAGUCUUAACAAUGCCCAACCCAAUGCUAAUACCACUAAAAGCAAUGUGCCGUUGAAAUUGGUUCAAUAGAGCAAAAUUGGACUAUGCCGGAUGACAUUGUCAUCAUCCCCAAUGUGUAGAACCAGUGCAGAUACAUAAUGCAACGAGGCCCUCUUCAAGUCUAGAAUGUAAGCCUUGUGAAUGCACUAAAUAAAAAUUUGGAACAGUAUAUAGAACACACACUCUAAGGUCUCAAUGAAUGUUGUGCAUCCAUUAUGAGCUUCACCAUCUUGCCCUCUCAGAUGAUUAAGAUUUCAAGAAAGCACAACCUCCUCAAGAAGUUCUUCUGAUUUCUGAAGUAUAGCAAAUAAAUGGUUCACCAAUAAAACAAAGCUCAUCCAAGAGAAAAGUAGAACUGGAGAUGUGAUUAUGAUUGACAGCUUUUUGUACUUCCCCAUUUACUUUCAAGUCUCCAUCAUUUGGAACUAUUUUACAAACAGUACUGCCAGCUUUAAAGGGUUCUCCAUAUGUACCUUCCCCACUUUGGUAAUACUUUCUGAGUCAAGGGGUCAGGAAAGUUUCAUUCUCAUUAACUAAACAAUCCAGGAGCAACAUUCAAAUUUCAAACAACGCAUAGUGCAAAAGAAGCAAAAAAUCCAGAACAGUAAAGCAAAGAUUAUGCUAUGCUAAGAUAACUUUUAAAUUAAAAAUGCGCUAAUUCCUGAACCAUUUGUAUGAUUGAAAGCCUGGGACAUAAAGAUGUGUAUUUCUGAAUUCUGGAAUGCAACUAUUACUAGUCAACCAAUCAUAAAACUUCAAAACUAUACUGACAACAUAAAGUAAAUAUGAUCCAUUGUGGAAACUGCCUAACCUAGAAAACUAAUUUAGACAACUCUGAUAUUAUAGACGCCUCUUAGACUGCCAAAAGGGAAGAAAAUGGAUUCAAAAUAGUCAUGAUCCAGUGAAGUAGAUGUUGACGCUAAAGAAAGUUUCUCAACUACAGCUUCAAUUUCCUUACAACCCUUAUUAUCAAAACUUGUCAACAUGGUGCUGAUCUUUUGUAAGUCAGAAUUUCUUUCAGGCACAUAUUUACUGAGUAGAUAUGCAUUAAUUCUGCUAUGGACAGAAUGCAGACUUGAAUUGAUUUUCAAAGAAGGCUUUUCAGGAAAUUUGCAGCGCCGAAAUCAUCACAAAUGGGUUCCAAGGGCAUGGCUGGAGUUUCUAAUAACUUUGAUAGCGUGCUAGAAGGUGCAGAACUGUAGUUCAGCUUCUUCAAAAUCAAACACUUCUCUAGUCUCCUCCAUUAACUCAAAAGCAUCAACCUCUUGAAAGUAUUCCCUUUCUUUGUCAAAAUUUGGAGGCUGUACAACACUAACAGUGAUAAAGACAUACUUUUGGAACAAUAGACCCGCCCUUCCUUUUGGCCUGCUUUUGUUCAGGUCGAUUGUCCACACAAGCAGCAACGGCAAUACUUACUCUCCCUCUGAAGGAAAGAGAACGGUUCCAAAUGACCCGCUUGGUAGCAGCAGCCAAACUCACCCUAUUCUUUUUAUACCAUUCCAACUGCUUUGAGUUGACAUCUGGAGGGGUUUCUGGGGUUGUCUCCUUCGGUAAAUCACUUCAAUCUUGGGUUGUUGAAGUUGAUCGGUGUGUCCUGGCUCUUCAACAAUGAUUUCUGACCAUAAAUCAACUCCAUCUCGACCUGCUCUCGAACCCAUGUAGUAUUAACGAUAUGUAGAUUGAAAUUUCUAGUUAAUUCUCUUAACAAGAAAGAGAGCGAGUAGGGUUCGAAAUGAGUUUGUGGGGCGGG